rnacentral:rRNA from 1 species
UACGAGCGGCCCAAACGUUAUUCGGAUUUACUGGGCUUAAAGAGUUCGUAGGCGGCGCGGAAAGUAGGGUGUGAAAGCCCUCGGCUCAACCGAGGAAUUGCGCUCUAAACUACCGUGCUUGAGGAACCUAGAGGUGAGCAGAACUGAUGGUGGAGCGGUGAAAUGCGUUGAUAUCAUCAGGAAUACCGGAGGCGAAGGCGGCUCACUGGGGGUUAUCUGACGCUGAGGAACGAAAGCCAGGGGAGCAAACGGG